GAUGAAGAACGUAGCGAAAUGCGAUAAGUAAUGUGAAUUGCAGAAUUCAGUGAAUCAUCGAAUCUUUGAACGCACAUUGCGCCCAUUAGUAUUCUAGUGGGCAUGCCUGUUCGAGCGUCAUUAAUUCCACUUAAGCCCUGCUUAGUGUUGGGAAUCUACUCUAGUGGAGCUACCCUGGAGCUACCCCUGAAAGGGGGCUGGCCCGGUAGCUACCCUGUAGUUCCUCAAAGAUAGUGCGCGGAGUUGCGUGGUCCUCUGAGCUUAGUAACUAUACACCUAGCUUUUGAGUGUCCCGCGGCGCCUGCCGUUUAAACCCCAUCUUUUAAUGGUUGACCUCGGAUCAGGUAGGAAUACCCGCUGAACUUAAGCAUAUCAAUAAGCGGAGGA
rnacentral:misc_RNA from 1 species